rnacentral:rRNA from 1 species
CAGUAGCCACGGGAAUACAGAGGGUGCGAGCGUUAAUCGGAUUUACUGGGCGUAAAGCGUGCGUAGGCGGCUUUUUAAGUCGGAUGUGAAAUCCCUGAGCUUAACUUAGGAAUUGCAUUCGAUACUGGGAAGCUAGAGUAUGGGAGAGGAUGGUAGAAUUCCAGGUGUAGCGGUGAAAUGCGUAGAGAUCUGGAGGAAUACCGAUGGCGUAGGCAGCCAUCUGGCCUAAUACUGACGCUGAGGUACGAAAGCAUGGGGAGCAAACAGGAUUAGAUACCCCUGUAGUCCCUGUCUCUUAUAC